GACAGAGGGUGCGAACGUUGUUCGGAAUUACUGGGCGUAAAGCGCAUGUAGGCGGCAGCGCAAGUCGGGCGUGAAAUCCCACGGCUCAACCGUGGAAGUGCACUCGAAACUGCGCAGCUAGAGUCCUGGAGAGGAAGGUGGAAUGCUUGGUGUAGAGGUGAAAUUCGUAGAUAUCAAGCGGAACACCGGUGGCGAAGGCGGCCUCUGGACAGUGACUGACGCUGAGAUGCGAAAGCGUGGGGAGCAACAGGG
rnacentral:rRNA from 1 species